UACGAAGGGGGCUAGCGUUGUUCGGAAUCACUGGGCGUAAAGCGCACGUAGGCGGAUCUUUUAAGUCGGAGGUGAAAUCCUGGAGCUCAACUCCAGAACUGCCUUCGAUACUGAAGAGCUCGAGUCCGGGAGAGGUGAGUGGAACUGCGAGUGUAGAGGUGAAAUUCGUAGAUAUUCGCAAGAACACCAGUGGCGAAGGCGGCUCACUGGCCCGGUACUGACGCUGAGGUGCGAAAGCGUGGGGAGCAAACAGG
rnacentral:rRNA from 1 species